rnacentral:misc_RNA from 1 species
AACGCACCUUGCGCUCCUUGGUAUUCCGAGGAGCAUGCCUGUUUGAGUGUCGUGUAAUUCUCAAUCCCGUUUGGUUUUGAAUCAGACGUGGCUUGGAUUUGGGAGCUUGCUGGUACUCUACAUUGUGGGGUUCGGCUCUCCUUGAAUGCAUUAGCUCGGUCACGUUAGUUGCCCGACGGUUCACGGUGUGAUAGUUUAACUUCAUCGCCGUUGUGACCGCCUCGGUGCCUGUGCCUGCCGGCUUCUAAUCUGCUGUGUCUCUUUAGAUGCGCAUACACUUUGACAAUUGACCUCAAAUCAGGUAGGACUACCCGCUGAACUUAA